rnacentral:tRNA from 1 species
CUUAAAUAAUUUAAUAAAAAAUAUUGAUUUGUGGAGUCAAAAAUAUGAAUAUAUCAUUUUAAGUU